UACGUAGGAGGCGAGCGUUGUCCGGAGUUACUGGGCGUAAGCGCACGCAGGCGGUCAGAUCAGUCUGGAGUGACAGUCGUCGGCUUAACCGACGAAGUGUUCUGGAAACUGUCUGACUUGAGGGCUUCAGAGGGACACGGAAUCCGGGUGGAGUGGUGAAAUGCGUAGAUAUCCGGAGGAAGACACCAUGGCGAAGGCGGUGUCCUGGGAAGACCUGA
rnacentral:rRNA from 1 species